rnacentral:misc_RNA from 1 species
UCCGGUUUGUCACCGGCAGUCUCAUUAGAGUGCCCUUUCGUAGCAACUAAUGACAAGGGUUGCGCUCGUUGCGGGACUUAACCCAACAUCUCACGACACGAGCUGACGACAGCCAUGCAGCACCUGUGUUCAGGUUCCCUUUCGGGCACCGCCACAUCUCUGCGGCGUUCCUGACAUGUCAAGGGUAGGUAAGGUUUUUCGCGUUGCAUCGAAUUAAUCCACAUAAUCCACCGCUUGUGCGGGUCCCCGUCAAUUCCUUUGAGUUUUAACCUUGCGGCCGUACUCCCCAGGCGGUCAACUUCACGCGUUAGCUUCGUUACCAAAGGAGUUAAUCCUCCGACAACCAGUUGACAUAGUUUGGGGCGUGGACUAC